CAAUCGGCUUUUCUCAGAGCCACCAAUAUAUUAAUAAAAGAACUU
rfam:Anopheles epiroticus strain epiroticus2 unplaced genomic scaffold supercont1.1357, whole genome shotgun sequence.